rnacentral:rRNA from 1 species
AUUGAACGCUGGCGGCAGGCCUAACACAUGCAAGUCGAACGAGUGGCGGACGGGUGAGUAAUGUCUGGGAAACUGCCUGCUGGAGGGGGCUAACUACUGGAAACGGUAGCUAAUACCGCAUACAAUCAGCUGUUCCCAGAUGGGAUUAGCUUGUUGGUGGGGUAACGGCUCACCAAGGCGACGAUCCCUAGCUGGUCUGAGAGGAUGACCAGCAACACUGGAACGGAGACACGUUCCAUACUCAGACGGGAGGCAGCAGUGGGGAAUAUUGCACAAUGGGCGCAAGCCGGAUGCAGCCAUGCCGCGUGUAUGAAGAAGGGCUUCGGGUUGUAAAGUACUUGCAGCGGGGAGGCGUUACCCGAAGAAGAAGCACCGGCUAACUCCGUGCCAGCAGCCGCGGUAAUUC